rnacentral:rRNA from 1 species
AGCGAACGCUGGCGGCAGGCCUAACACAUGCAAGUCGAACGAACCUUUCGGGGUUAGUGGCGGACGGGUGAGUAACACGUGGGAACGUGCCUUUAGGUUCGGAAUAACUCAGGGAAACUUGUGCUAAUACCUAAUGUGCCCUUCGGGGGAAAGAUUAAUCGCCUUUAGAGCGGCCCGCGUCUGAUUAGCUAGUUGGUUGAGGUAAUGGCUCACCAAGGCGACGAUCAGUAGCUGGUCUGAGAGGAUGAUCAGCCACAUUGGGACUGAGACACGGCCCAAACUCCUACGGGAGGCAGCAGUGGGGAAUCUUGCGCAAUGGGCGAAAGCCUGACGCAGCCAUGCCGCGUGAAUGAUGAAGGUCUUAGGAUUGUAAAAUUCUUUCACCGGGGACGAUAAUGACGGUACCCGGAGAAGAAGCCCCGGCUAACUUCGUG